rnacentral:tRNA from 2 species
GGAGGGAUGGCCGAGAGGCUUAAGGCGGCGGUCUUGAAAACCGCUUUCGCUCACGCGAACGUGGGUUCGAAUCCUACUCCCUCCGCCA